AUGAAGACCUUUCUCAUCCUUGCCCUCGUGGCGACCACCGCCACAACUGCAGUUAGAGUUCCAGUGCCACAAUUGCAGCCACAAAAUCCAUCUCAGCAACAGCCACAAGAGCAAGUUCCAUUGGUACAACAACAACAAUUUCCAGGGCAGCAACAACAAUUUCCACCACAACAGCCAUAUCCGCAGCCGCAACCAUUUCCAUCACAACAACCAUAUCUGCAGCUGCAACCAUUUCCGCAGCCGCAACCAUUUCUGCCACAACUACCAUAUCCGCAGCCGCAAUCAUUUCCACCACAACAACCAUAUCCACAACAGCGACCAAAGUAUCUACAACCACAACAACCAAUUUCGCAGCAACAAGCACAACAACAACAACAACAACAACAACAACAACAACAACAACAACAACAACAACAACAAAUCCUUCAACAAAUUUUGCAACAACAACUGAUUCCAUGCAGGGAUGUUAUCUUGCAACAACACAACAUAGCGCAUGCAAGCUCACAAGUUUUGCAACAAAGUACUUACCAGCUAUUGCAACAAUUGUGUUGUCAACAACUGUUGCAGAUCCCUGAGCAGUCGAGGUGCCAAGCCAUACAUAAUGUUGUUCAUGCUAUUAUUAUGCAUCAACAAGAACAACAACAACAGUUGCAACAACAACAACAACAGCAACUGCAACAACAACAACAACAACAACAACAACAACAACAACAACAACAACCGUCAAGCCAGGUCUCCUUCCAACAGCCUCAGCAGCAAUAUCCAUCAAGCCAGGUCUCCUUCCAGCCAUCUUAGCUAAACCCACAAGCUCAGGGCUCCGUCCAACCUCAACAACUGCCCCAGUUCGCGGAAAUAAGGAACCUAGCGCUACAGACGCUACCUGCAAUGUGCAAUGUCUACAUCCCUCCACAUUGCUCGACCACCAUUGCGCCAUUUGGCAUCUUUGGUACCAACUGA
rnacentral:rRNA from 1 species